GAUGAACGCUGGCGGCGUGCCUAAUACAUGCAAGUCGAGCGAACGGACGAGAAGCUUGCUUUUCUGAUGUUAGCGGCGGACGGGUGAGUAACACGUGGAUAACCUACCUAUAAGACUGGGAUAACUUCGGAAAACCGGGCCUAAUACCGGUUAAUAUUUUAACCCGCAUGGUUAAAAGGUGAAAAACGUUCUUCCUGUCACUAAAAAAUGAAUCCGCGCUGCAUUAGCUAGUUGGUAAGGUAACGGCUUACCAAGGCAACGAUGCAUAGCCGACCUGAGAGGGUGAUCGGCCACACUGGAACUGAGACACGGUCCAGACUCCUACGGGAGGCAGCAGUAGGGAAUCUUCCGCAAUGGGCGAAAGCCUGACGGAGCAACGCCGCGUGAGUGAUGAAGGUCUUCGGAUCGUAAAACUCUGUUAUUAGGGAAGAACAUAUGUGUAAGUAACUGUGCACAUCUUGACGGUACCUAAUCAGAAAGCCACGGCUAACUACGUG
rnacentral:rRNA from 1 species